rnacentral:misc_RNA from 1 species
GAUGAAGAACGUAGCGAAAUGCGAUACUUGGUGUGAAUUGCAGAAUCCCGUGAACCAUCGAGUCUUUGAACGCAAGUUGCGCCCGAAGCCAUUAGGCCGAGGGCACGCCUGCCUGGGCGUCACACGUCGUUGCCCCCCCAUCUACUCCUUCGGGAUUGCGGGGGGCGGAUGAUGGCCUCCCGUGCGCCUCGUCGCGCGGUUGGCAUAAAUGCCAAGUCCUCGGCGACGCACGCCACGACAAUCGGUGGUUGCGAAACCUCGGUUGCCCGUCAUGUGCGGUCGUCGCGCAUCGAGGGCUCGAAAAAAUUGCCGGGCUCCGGCUCGGCUUUCAACGCGACCCCAGGUCAGGCGGGGUUACCCGCUGAAUUUAAGCAUAUCAUAAGCGGAGGA